rnacentral:rRNA from 1 species
AGAGCGAACGCUGGCGGCAGGCCUAACACAUGCAAGUCGAGCGCCCCGCAAGGGGAGCGGCAGACGGGAGAGUAACACGUGGGAACGUACCCUUUGGUUCGGAACAACACAGGGAAACUUGUGCUAAUACCGGAUAAGCCCUUACGGGGAAAGAUUUAUUGCCAAAGGAUCGGCCCGCGUCUGAUUAGCUUGUUGGUGAGGUAACGGCUCACCAAGGCUACGAUCAGUAGCUGGUCUGAGAGGAUGAUCAGCCUCACUGGGACUGAGACACGGCCCAGACUCCUACGGGAGGCAGCAGUGGGGAAUAUUGGACAAUGGGCGCAAGCCUGAUCCAGCCAUGCCGCGUGGAUGAUGAAGGCCCUAGGGUGUAAAGUCCUUUCGACGGGAAGAUAAUGACGGUACCCGUAGAAGAAGCCCCGGCUAACUUCGUGCCAGCAGCCGC